rnacentral:rRNA from 1 species
AGCGAACGCUGGCGGCAGGCCUAACACAUGCAAGUCGAACGGAUCCUUCGGGAUUAGUGGCGGACGGGUGAGUAACACGUGGGGACGUGCCCUUUGGUUCGGAACAACUCAGGGAAACUUGAGCUAAUACCGGAUGUGCCCUUCGGGGGAAAGAUUUAUCGCCAUUGGAGCGGCCCGCGUCUGAUUAGCUAGUUGGUGAGGUAAAGGCUCACCAAGGCGACGAUCAGUAGCUGGUCUGAGAGGAUGAUCAGCCACAUUGGGACUGAGACACGGCCCAAGCUCCUACGGGAGGCAGCAGUGGGGAAUCUUGCGCAAUGGGCGAAAGCCUGACGCAGCCAUGCCGCGUGAAUGAUGAAGGUCUUAGGAUUGUAAAAUUCUUUCACCGGGGACGAUAAUGACGGUACCCGGAGAAGAAGCCCCGGCUAACUUCGUGCCAGCCGCCGCCGUAAGAC